rnacentral:miRNA from 1 species
UGAUGUAUUACUGGGCAAUACUCCACUGGCAGUAGCUACGUCAUUUUGAUUGCAGAUUGUGAACAUUUAAUGUCACAUGGCAUAUCAGUGAUAAGAGCUCACCGCCAAGGGAGAUUUGCCCUGCAAUUCAGCU